CAGAGGUCUCAAGCGUUGUUCGGAUUCAUUGGGCGUAAAGGGUGCGUAGGUGGCGGGGUAAGUCAGGUGUGAAAUCUCGGAGCUCAACUCCGAAACUGCACUUGAUACUGCCUUGCUCGAGUACUGGAGAGGAGAUUGGAAUUUACGGUGUAGCAGUGAAAUGCGUAGAUAUCGUAAGGAAGACCAGUGGCGAAGGCGAAUCUCUGGACAGUUACUGACACUGAGGCACGAAGGCCAGGGGAGCAAACAGGAUUAGAUACCCUGGUAGUCCUGGCAGUAAACGGUGCGCGUUUGGUGUGGGAGGAUUCGACCCCUUCUGUGCCGGAGCUAACGCGUUAAACGCGCCGCCUGGGGAGUACGGUCGCAAGAUUA
rnacentral:rRNA from 1 species